rnacentral:lncRNA from 1 species
AGGCGAUGAGCACAAAUAUGGCCAGAUCAAAAUCUAGAAGUAAAAAAAAAAACUGUUUUGAGUACAAGGAGUAUGGUCACUUUAAGAGAAAUUGUCUUAAGCUAAAAAGAGAAGAAAAUAGGAGAGUUAUGCUAAUAUAGUUGACAUAGAUAAUUAUGAUGAUAAUAAUGAUAGUAUUGCUGGGGAAUUUUUAUUUCUGAUUUCAAAUUAUAGAAAGAAUUCAUGGAUUCUUGAUUUUGGUGCUACAUUCCACAUAUGUUCACAUGGGUAUUGGUUUGCUACUUACAAAUAGAUGCGUGGUACUAUGUAUAUAGAAGAUAACAGUUCGUUGAUUGUAGAUGAAAUUAAUAAUAU